UCUUAACAUAUGUUCAAUUAUCCAGGAAUGCAAAUCAAGGGAAGACUGAAAUUUACUUUGUUCAAAACUUUAACAAGACUCGAUCACCAUUUUGGAGGUAACAUCGGAGAUGGCAACAUGACUUGUGAUUGAGAAAGAAGAAAUUAACCCAGAUGCCUGUGGCAACUAAGAAUUUUGCUUGACGUGGCCUGGUGCAGCGGCUCAUGCCUGUAAUCCCAACACUUUAGGAGGCUGAGGCGGGAGGAUUGCUUGAGCCCAGGAGUUCCAGACUAGCCUGAGCAACAUAGCAAGACCCUAUCUCUACAAAAAAUUAAAAAGUUAGCUGGGAGUGGUGGCUCAUGACUGCAUUCCCAGCUACUUAGGAGGCUGAAGUAGGAGGAUUGCUUGACCCUGUCUCAAAAAAACAAACAAACAAAAAAAAAUUUUGCUUGACCCUAUACAACACACCUGUAUUCAUCUGCAUUUGUGAACGUCACCAUCACUGUGAUUCAUGGUCUAUUAAGAUCUACUUUUUUAGCUCUUAUUUUUAAAUGUCAAAGAUAAAAACUGUGGCCUGAAUAUUAUCAUACCUCUCUCAAAUCCAAACUUACUUGUUAUAAGUAGGUGCAAGCAUGUGACUGCUUCAUAAUGUCUUUUAGAGUUUAGGCCUGAGCAUUUAUGUAUUGAAACCCAUUAUUUUAUUACAGUAUUCCUUUUAUUUCUCUUUCAUAUUACAGUAGCAGCAUUGUAUUGAUUUUGUUUUUUCAUUAUGUGUAUAAGUGGUUUAGAUUAUCCAUGAAUUUCGUUUCAGUAAAUUCAUGGUAAAGAGGAUAUUCAAAAUAUUUGUUAUAAAAAGGGAGCAUCUGGCAGCAUUGAGAACCACUCUAAGGUUCAGGAGGCAGGGACUUCGCCUCCCCUGGGUCACUCCAUUCUUCUUUGUGCCUAGCAUAGGGCCUGGAAUAUCACAGAUGCACAAAGAAUCUUUUCUGAAUGAGUGAUGAAGGAAUUGAGGCUGAACUCUGGUUUGGUAACCACCUAGGUAGGUGAUGAGGCCCUCUGCUGAAACGGGAACACAGGAGAGAGGGCAGGUUUUGGGGAGAGUAAUGAGUUCAGUUUUCAUUGUGAAAGUUUGGAGAGCCCUGGAAUUUCUAGGUGGAGGGGCCUGAGGCCCAGGGCUGUGUGGGCCUUGAUUUCUCUCUCAAGGCCACAGAAGAGUGGAAAGUGCAAAGUGCAAAGUCGUAGUAACAGUUCAUCUCUUUAGUCAGUAAUCAUUGCUGAGUCUCUCCAUGCAGGAUGAAUAGACCAGUGAGAGCUGCCCAUGAGGUGUCUCCCUCCUCCUGUGGUGAUCUGUGUACCUGCCCAGGCCUUCAGAGGCUAGGAGCUCCUCCAAGGUAGGGGAUAGAAAUCCUUCAUCUCUAGCCCCUCUGACUUCCUGCCCCAUCCUGACAUAGUAGGUGGCUCGGCAAUGAUAGCUGGAGGGACCACGCAGUAAAACCCAUCUGUGGAAACACAUGUAUUCAGAGCAACUUUUUUUGGCCUGAAGUCACUGCAGUGGAACAUUUGGGAGCAAGUUUCCCCAGGGCCCAGCUCCUUCCCGCUAGGCUCUGCCAUGCCUCCUGUUUAUUAACAGGGAGGCGUGACAAAGGGAAAAAUCUCCUGAUUGAAGACUCAUCUCAGACAUCUUUUCACUCCUCUAGGGAAGGGUGCAAUUCUGGGCUUUAAUGACAUAUGACGGGGCAGGCAGUGGAGGUGUUGCACAUUUUAGGCAAUACAUGUGCUGCUAGAAAGUUGAGGUAUAGGGACUUUUUAGGAACACAAUUUUUAUUGACAAGUAACCUUUCAAGAACAAUAAAGAAAAUCAGAAAGAAAACCUAUGUUCAUAGCAGCAUCAUUCAUAAUAGCAAAAACAACUCAAAUGGCCAUCAACUGACGAACGUAUGAAUAAAAUGUGGUCUAUUCAUGUGACGGAA
rnacentral:lncRNA from 1 species